rnacentral:rRNA from 1 species
UACGUAGGUCCCGAGCGUUGUCCGGAAUUACUGGGUGUAAAGGGUGCGCAGGCGGUCUUGUGCGUCAGAGGUGAAAUAUCACGGCUCAACCGUGAGGGUGCCUUUGAUACGGCAAGACUUGAGUACGAGAGAGGGUGAUGGAAUUCCUGGUGUAGCGGUGAAAUGCGUAGAUAUUGGGAAGAACACCGGUGGCGAAGGCGGCUCUCUGGACCGAUACUGACGCUGAGGCGCGAAAGCGUGGGGAGCAAACAGG